GCAGUCGUGGCCGAGUGGUUAAGGCGAUGGACUCGAAAUCCAUUGGGGUCUCCCCGCACAGGUUCGAAUCCUGUCGGCGGCG
rnacentral:tRNA from 1 species